rnacentral:misc_RNA from 1 species
AGUUCGAUCAUGGCUCAGAUUGAACGCUGGCGGGGAUGCUUUACACAUGCAAGUCGAACGGCAGCACGGACUUCGGUCUGGUGGCGAGGGGCGAACAGGUGAGUAAUGUAUCGGAACGUGCCUAGUAGCGGGGGAUAACUGCACGAAAGCGUAGCUAAUACCGCAUACGCCCUUCGGGGAAAGCGGGGGGACCUUCGAGGCCUCGCACUAUUAGAGCGGCCGAUAUCGGAUUAGCUAGUUGGUGGGGUAACGGCUCACCAAGGCGACGAUCCGUAGCUGGUUUGAGGAGGACGACCAGCCACACUGGGACUGAGACACGGCCCAGACUCCUACGGGAGGCAGCAGUGGGGAAUUUUGGACAAUGGAAACCCUGAUCCAGCCAUCCCGCGUGUGCGAUGAGGCCUUCGGGUUGUAAAGCACUUUUGGCAGGAAAGAAACGGCACGGGAUAAUACCCCGUGCAACUGACAGUACCUGCAGAAUAAGCACCGGCUAACUACACGUGCCAGCAGCCGCGGUAAUACGUAGGAGUGCAAGCGUUAAUCGGAAUUACUGGGCGUAAAG